rnacentral:rRNA from 1 species
UCGGGAAUUUUGGGCAAUGGGCGAAAGCCUGACCCAGCAACGCCGCGUGAGGGAUGAAGUAUUUCGGUAUGUAAACCUCGAAAGAAUGAGAAGAAUAAAUGACGGUACCAUUUAUAAGCUCCGGCUAACUACGUGCCAGCAGCCGCGGUAAUACGUAGGGAGCAAGCGUUGUUCGGAUUUACUGGGCGUAAAGGGCGCGUAGGCGGCGCGGUAAGUCACUUGUGAAAUCUCUGAGCUUAACUCAGAACGGCCAAGUGAUACUGCUGUGCUAGAGUGCGGAAGAGGCAACCGGAAUUCUUGGUGUAGCGGUGAAAUGCGUAGAUAUCAAGAGGAACACCUGAGGCGAAGGCGGGUUGCUGGGCCGACACUGACGCUGAUGCGCGAAAGCCAGGGGAGCAAACG